rnacentral:rRNA from 1 species
AUUGGACGCUGGCGGCAGGCCUAACACAUGCAAGUCGAGCGGGGGAAGGUAGCUUGCUACCGGACCUAGCGGCGGACGGGUGAGUAAUGCUUAGGAAUCUGCCUAUUAGUGGGGGACAACAUCUCGAAAGGGAUGCUAAUACCGCAUACGUCCUAUGGGAGAAAGCAGGGGAUCUUCGGACCUUGCGCUAAUAGAUGAGCCUAAGUCGGAUUAGCUAGUUGGUGGGGUAAAGGCCUACCAAGGCGACGAUCUGUAGCGGGUCUGAGAGGAUGAUCCGCCACACUGGGACUGAGACACGGCCCAGACUCCUACGGGAGGCAGCAGUGGGGAAUAUUGGACAAUGGGGGGAACCCUGAUCCAGCCAUGCCGCGUGUGUGAAGAAGGCCUUAUGGUUGUAAAGCACUCUAAGCGAGGAGGAGGCUACUUUAGUUAAUACCUAGAGAUAGUGGACGUUACUCGCAGAAUAAGCACCGGCUAACUCUGUGCCAGCCGCCGCCGUAA